rnacentral:rRNA from 1 species
AACAAACGCUGGCGGCGUGCCUAAUACAUGCAAGUCGAACGGGGAAAGUAGCAAUAUGUGUCCUAGUGGCGCACGGGUGAGUAACGCGUGGCUAAUCUGCCCUGAACAGGGGGAUAACUAGUCGUAAGAUUAGCUAAUACCGCAUAAGACCACAAGAACUGAGGCUUAGGGGGUCAUAGGUUUUUCGCUUGAAGAUGAGUCCGCGUAAGAGUAGCUAGUUGGUGAGGUAAUGGCUCACCAAGGCAACGGUCUUUAACUGGUCUGAGGGGAUGAUCAGACACAGGGAAUGAGAGACGCGGUAGAGACUUCUGCGGGGGGGAGGAGGAGGAAAUAUUGCAAUGGGGGGAAGACUGAGAUGGAGCGGCGCCGCGUGAGAGAUGGAGCUUUGCGGGGUGUAAAGCUUUGGCGCAUGAGAAUAACACAGUGACGGUACCCGGUAAGAAAGGACCGGCUAACUACGUG